rnacentral:rRNA from 1 species
GAUGGACUCGCGGCCUAUCAGCUUGUUGGUGAGGUAAUGGCUCACCAAGGCGACGACGGGUAGCCGGCCUGAGAGGGUGACCGGCCACACUGGGACUGAAGUCGAACGAUGAAGCCCAGCUUGCUGGGUGGAUUAGUGGCGAACGGGUGAGUAACACGUGAGUAACCUGCCCUUAACUCUGGGAUAAGCCUGGGAAACUGGGUCUAAUACCGGAUAGGAGCGUCCACCGCAUGGUGGGUGUUGGAAAGAUUUAUCGGUUUUGGAUGGACUCGCGGCCUAUCAGCUUGUUGGUGAGGUAAUGGCUCACCAAGGCGACGACGGGUAGCCGGCCUGAGAGGGUGACCGGCCACACUGGGACUGA